CGGCAUGACGGGAAAUGUAGUCCGCUCCGCAGAACAGCUGACUGACGGCUCAGCGUCACGUGACUGGCAGUGUCAGGAGAAGGCCGCCAUGUUGGUGGAGGAAAGAGGAUGUAUAUAGGAGUGCCUAGGGAAGGGUGAUGUCAUCAUUCUGGCCAAAUCUUGG